AGCAACGGCGAACAGGAGCCGGGAACGCGCCUCCGAUAGGUCAGGCUUAGGGACCUGCGGACAAGAGGGCGGGAUCAGGACCCCGCGGCACGGCCCACGGAUUGGCUCCUGGCACUCGCCACGCCUACGCCCAUAGCUGCCGGACGUGCGCCUCCAGGUCUCGGUUCCGUGCCUCGGCCUCACGGAGCUGACUGCGGGUAGGAAGAGACCGUGAGCCCUCCCGGACCCGAGCCAGACCGGCUGUUGGCAGUAGAGACCGACCCGGCGCCCCGACCCCGACCUGGCAAAGAUCUGGUUAGCUGUGCGGAUGGCCUCCAGCUCCCGGCUCAGGCUCUGCCGUGUGAGCACCUCCUCCUCCAGGGCCUCCUGGAGCUCCCGCAGCGUCACCUGGGCCUCCUGGGCCUCCGCCGAGGCCGGAGUGGCCUCCGGAACCGCCGCUGCAGCCUGCGGGGCCGGACCGCGCUUAGGGCUGCCCGUGGCUCCCACAGCACCCAAGACCGGGGCACAGGUUCUAGGCACCCUGCCUUGUCCUCUAGAUCUCUGGGAAUCCUCACAGCUCCUGUGGUGACCCGGGUCUCCUUGCCUUCCUAACCCCAGCCCCGUCCUGGUCUCCGGCCUUUGGUCUGGGCCCUUCCCACCCACCGUCCGCACACACAGGAACCAAAGAGCUGUUCCUAAAACCCUAACCCAACUUGACCACGUCCCUCUCCUCCUCCCCAGGCCCUCAGCGCCCUCAGGGGAAGGCCUGCCUCCCCAAAACGCCCAGUUUGGUUUGUUUCCCAUUGGCCUCAGUCUCCCCUCCCCUCAGUCUCCACCCCCUCCUCCUGGAACGAGUCAGCCUUACCACCUUCCUUCCCUGAUCGAGAGUAAACCUUUGCCUUGAAGUUC